AAGUCGUAACAAGGUUUCCGUAGGUGAACCUGCGGAAGGAUCAUUAUUGAAUAUUCUUGAUGGGUUGUAGCUGGCUCUUUGGAGCAUGUGCACGCCUGUCUUGACUUAAUUCAUCCACCUGUGCACCUUUUGUAGUCUUGGGGGUUGAGUGCAGUCGACUGUCGGACGGCUAUUGUAGUCUAUCCGGAUGUGAGGAAUGCUGAGUGCGGAAGCAUACGGCUCUCUUCAAAACGACUUGCAAACCUCUCCCUCGAGUACUAUGUAUUCAUACACCACAUAGUAUGUUGUAGAAUGUGAUCAAUGGGCCUCUGUGCCUAUAAUAAUUAUAUACAACUUUCAGCAACGGAUCUCUUGGCUCUC
rnacentral:misc_RNA from 1 species